rnacentral:rRNA from 1 species
GACGAACGCUGGCGGCGUGCUUAACACAUGCAAGUCGAACGCUGAAGCUCAGCUCUUGUUGGGUGGAUGAGUGGCGAACUGGUGAGUAACACGUGAGUAACCUGCCCCUUUCUUUGGGAUAACGCCUGGGAACGGGUGCUAAUACAGGAUAUUCACUGGUCUUCGCCUGGGGUCUGGAGGGAAGGGCGUUUUUGGUGGGGGGUGUGCACGUGGCCUCUCAGCGUGUUGGUGGGGUGAUGGUGUACCGAUGCUUUGACGGGUAGACGGCGUGAGCGGGUGAGCGGUAACAGAGAGACGGAGCUGCGGCCCAGGCUACGACGGGGGGGAGCAGUGGGGGAUAUGGCAGAAUGGGCGCAAGACUGAUGCAGCGACGCCGCGUGAGGGAUGGAGGCCUUCGGGUUGUGAAACUCGUUCGCUCAUGGUCAAGCCGCAACAAUGGUUGUGGUGAGGGUAGUGGGUAAAGAAGCGACGGCUAACUACGUG